AGUUUAACGCGAAACCUAACUCAAGCCGUUGUUGGCUUGUACCACUUCCAUCUUUCUUUUCUUUUCAUUUUUUCCCUAAAUUUCCACCACUUUCAUCUUCCUUCUCACUCUCCUCGUUUCGCACACCUCACAGAUCAUCUUUUCCAUCUCAGUCGCUAUCUUCUCUUCACCAACCUCAGAUUGUCCUCUCUCUCUCCUCUCCCAUUUAACCACAGAUCCAGACUUAUGCCGCCCCGCUUCUUGAUUUGAACUUUCCGCUCUUCCUCUCUGGCACUGGAAUGGGUUGCUUUACGCCGUGCUCUUCAUUCUCAAGCAGCUAUGGGUGUCAGAGUUCCCCGUUAUUAAGCGUCCACCAGUCUUCAGCUUCAAGAUUGCUCUCCCCUUGACGUGAACACAACCUCUGAAGCUAUCAGUAUUAACUCCAGUUUGUCCGUAGAAGACUGGAAAUAGCAUGUAAAGUUGUCGAGCUGUUCACAUACCGCCUGAGCACAACGCAAGCAACGUAAUGGAGAAACUCCAAUACUUGUGUAGGUGGAAGCUCAAGCAAUGACGUGAAACCCCUGGCGUUCUUGAGAGUUAGCUUCGUUGGUUGCCGAAACUCGUUGCUGCCGCGGAGAUGAAGUGAUUCAAACCCUGUUGCUUCCUGGAACGGCCCAACACCAUCGUAUCUAGCUCUGAGUGCUCCAGUCAGAUCCAUAAAAGGUAAAAAUUCAGUCAAUUCUGAACAACACCAAGAACUCAAAAUCUCAGAGAAACACUUGAAGGGGGGCGAGAAAGAGAGAGAGAGACUUGCGGUGAUAAAGAUCUGCCUUUUGUCAUUAAGUGAGCAUAAACGACGCGAGCAACUACAGAGCGUGAAACUCACACAGACGAAUGGUGUUUCGACACGUGUCUCCAUUUGCCCCUCUCAUCUAAAGUGUCGUGGAUGGCUUGAGAGGGCAGAUAUGUUAACUUUAUUGUAUUAGAUAACAACGCAUAUUUAUGAGAGACCUUUUGUUUUCGUCUCAUUAGCACGACAAUUAAAAAACAUCUACUCGAACUAAUCAAAAUAGUGGGAAAGUUUUUCGCAGAGGUCAUUUAUGUUGACUGCUUUUUCUUUCACUGAAUAAUAC